CAGCUUGCAGCCCAGCGCGGCGGCCGAGCCGGCCAGUGGCCGCCUCUGGCAGCGGGGGCAGGAUGGCGCUGAGGCGGACCCAAAAGGAAUUAACCGACUUGCAGAGGGAUCCUCCUGCCCAGUGCUCUGCAGGACCUGUGAGAGAUGAUUACGCCUUGAGUUCAUAGCCCGCCUGGUCAAGAUGCUGCCAGAAAUCACCAUCUCCCUCCACUGGGGCACAAGAAAGCCAUCUUAUCCUGAGGCACAUUGGCUUCUGGAAGGUGCCUCUGACCAACUACAACUUGGGAUAAUGACAGUCCUUACCAAGGAGGUGUUUUCUUCCUGAUCAUCCACUUUCCUACAGAUUAUCCUUUCAAGCCCCCAAAGGACGGGAGAGACGGAGGGAGGAGAUUCUUUGCACCAUUAAAUCUUCCCCAGCAGACAGCUGUGAAGAACCCUCAGGACUCACCAGGCUAGGGGUUUACGGCCGUGAAUGGCACGUUCCCGCUCCGGGCAGCCUUUAUUGCAUUCGUCCAUCAGUCCUCGGUAUUUGACUGGAAGCAGCAGCAUUGCCCCCGUACCAGUUCUGUUCUCUGCUCCGCAUUGAAAGGAAGUGACCAUUAUGCACGAGGGUGUCACCCCCUCUGCUUUUUUCUUCCAGGUACAACCGACUAGCGAGAGAGUGGACACAGAAAUAUGCUAUGUAAGUGCCUCAGAGGUUUUACGGGUGACAUUGUCCAAGAGAAGCUGAGCUGAGGUGCUGGCCGAGCCACUCACAGAGCAUCGUGUCUUCUGCAAACAGACGCUGCUUGCCCACUUUCCCCAACCGCAGCAUGUUGGUACCACUCUCAGCCAUCGUGGUUUUGACAGCGUCAUGUCUCUGAUGCCGGAUCAGCGGUCACUGUUACGAUCUGCAGCCUUCCUGGCUACAUCGGAAUCUGUCCCGCCACCCCGACUCACUGCUCACCUCCUGGGGGGACCUGUGCGCCUCCCCUGCCCGGCCUCACUCAGGCGGCAUCGCUCACGGAGGGGAUACACAGGGGGCCUCAGCGUGGCCCCUUACCACGUGCUCUUGGCCUUUUAGAAUUCAGUGCCAGCUCGGGUGCCCAGGGCAGAGCGGGCAGGCUUCCCUCACAUCGCGUCUGCUGCAAACCACAUCCCGAGGAGUCUCCACUCAUCCCAGGAGUUCCUGGGAAUUGGGAACAGUGUCACUGGGAAGUGGAGGCCUUACCCCACAGCUCCCACCAGCCUUCCUCGGCAGUGCCACAUGCUGGCCCUCUCCCCUCACACCGAGCCGCGGCAGAAGAGAAGAUAUGGAAACUUUUAACAGGGAUAUCAUGGAGAUGCAUGACCUUAAGCAAUUGAACCAACAUGAACAAAUGACUUAGCUCCGGCCACAAGUGUCUCAGCUUGCAGGACGGUGCCGAGAUCUUGGUCCUUCGUCAGGCUACGGGAAGACCCAAGAGUUCCAAGAACACGGCACAGGGUCGGUCUCCCGACAAGGGAUGAAGACACCAGAACACCAAUGUCCAACGGCCUGGCAGCUCACAGCUGAGCUGUGCGUCAGCACCGUGGGGUCCCACACCACCCGACUGCAGAUGCUCAAGGACGGGCAGGUUUCUGUCUCUGAAAUUCAGGAGACAGUCUCCUGGAGUUCCAGAGAGGUGCUUAUGGGACUGGUCUGCAGAACUCCUGGCCCGAUGCCUGUCCUGGCAGAGGCUGAGAAAGCCUUGAGAGCAACAUAGGCCACCCGUCCCUCCCGCCCUCGCCUGCCCAUCCCUCCUGUGCCUCUGUUCCUCCAGCUCUUCUCGCUGUGACACAUGCUUCCUCCCUGGCAGCGCUGGCUGAGGAUUGAAUGAGGAUUAGAUCUAGCCGUGAAAGCUGGUCCUCUGAGAAACGGAGGAUGGCUUCCCAGGGUUACCAACCUGGGUCCUUGGACUAUUUAAUCAAUAGAAAUUGAUAACAGACCGGACAAGAAAUUCCGGCAAGGCUUUAGUGGGACUUGAGCGGCAGCAGGUGGGAGUGAGAACGAGUAACAGGUGCGCUUGCUCGCUCCCCGAGCCGGAGUGGGCGUGGAGGGGUGGCUUCGGUGAUCUGUGCACCCCCUUGCCGGUGCUGUGUGCGGGGAUCAUGUGCAGCCCCCCGCUUUUGCUCCGCGCACCUCAGAAAUGGCAAGUGGGUUUUGGCCUUUUUGUAUCUUACUGCUCAUAACGGACCCCACCUGCGCACGCAUGCAGUUAUUUUUUUAGUCCCUUCGAGUUUCUUUGUAUUCUGUUGCUUGAGGAGAGGAGACGUUUGUCCAGGUGCAAGCACUCCAGGAAAGGGUCCCGAGUCCCAGGUCCCAGCCUAUCUCGCCAGCACCCGCAAGACAGCAGCCUGGUGCCAUGCAGGCGGGCAACGCUCGCCCCUCAGGUCUGGUGUUCUCCCCCGGCCCAUCUGCUGGCCUCAUCAUGACCACCACCGGGGUUCCUAUUCUGUUGCCAGAGAGAUUUUAUUAAAAACAAAACCAAAAAGCUAUAGAAAAUCUGCAAAACCCCUAUCAGACCAAAUAGUGGCUUUUUGACUUUCCUUAAAAAAAAGUCUCCUUCUUAUCCCAUCUCCACCCCACUUCUCCCAGACUCCCAAUUCUCACCCUUCAGAGAGGCCCACUUGGUGUAUCCAGCUCCCUACCACAGAGCUUCCCUCGGGGUGCAGGGGCUUGGCUGGGCUCCCCUUUGGGAGGUAAUGACAGAACUGCCCCGUUGGAGCCUGCCUCUCACCCCUGCUGCCCACCCCCAUCACCGCAACAGCUCAAGGGCCUAGUCACGGGGGGAAGACCACAGGCCUCAGGAAGGAGGUGGGACUAGGGUCAGGUCUAAUGGAUGGACGGGGGAGAGGGUCCUGCAGGCAAAGGGAGCCCUUCAACAGAGGCUGGGUUCCAGCAUAUUCUGGGAGCUGACUCAGCACCUGGGGAUACUUCCGCACAUGGCCCUUCCCAAACUGGGGCCCUGUUACCUUCUGGGAGCCAAGGGGUCACCAGGACACUAGGGUAAAUGGAAUCACAGGGCUGACCUUUCCGGAGAAUCACUGAAGGCAGAGGAGUGGCAGGAUGAAUACAAAUGUUCAUACUGAGUGGAUGGCACACUUCAUAUAAGCUGGUGUGUAAAGCCAUUUCACACCCUAGACCCCCAGGGAAACAAGCACCGUCACUGGACCAGAGACCUGUUAGGGGCAAGGACACAGGCACAAAGCUGCAUCUAUCUAGCCCUCUAUCCACGUGAAGAAAGAAGUGCCAUUAGGCCUGGGCCCAGCCUGGCCUCAGAGUUUGUUCUCGGGAGCAAUAAUGGCCUGGCUAGGGCACAAGAAAGAAGGUCAGCAGUGCUCAAUGGGCAAAAUGAUCCAACAGCUCCAGAAACAAGGAUGCGGAUGGAGGCAUGGGCCAUAAAGUUGAGGGUGGCAGAAGCAAGGGAUUUAAGGCUGGCUACCCUUCUGAGGAAAGUUGAAAGUUCCGUGUCAAAUGUCCAGCAGUGGGAAUUCCCUGGCGGUCCAGGGGUUGGGACUCUGCACUUCCACUGCAGGGGCCAUGGGUUCAGUCCCUGGUGUGGGAACUAAGAUCCUAUAUGCCGCGUGGUGUAGCCAAAAUAUAUAUGUAUGUAUGUCCAGCAUGCAGGCUCAGGAUGCCUUCAGCCUGAAACAGGAGGGACUAACAGAACCUAUUGACAUCUUUGGGUUCAAAAUGUCGGCAAAGGGGCUUCCCUGGUGGCGCAGUGGUUGAGAGUCCACCUGCCGAUGCAGGGGACACGGGUUCGUGCCCCGGUCCGGGAAGAUCCCACAUGCCGCGG